rnacentral:rRNA from 2 species
CGCGGUAUUUUGACUGUGCGAAGGUAGCAUAAUCAUUUGUCUUUUAAUUGAAGACUUGUAUGAAUGGUUGAACGAGAAAAUAACUGUCUCUUUAAAAAAUCUUGAAUUUUACUUUUAAGUGAAAAGGCUUAAAUAAUUUUAAGGGACGAUAAGACCCUAUAAAUCUUUAUAUUAUUUUUCUUUAAUUUUUAAAUUAUAUAUUAAAAGAAAACAAAGAAAAAAAUAUUGUAUUGGGGAGAUAAAAAUAUAAUUUUUUAACUGUUUUAAAUAUAUAACAAUAAUUUUUGAUUUAUUAAAAAUUGAUCCUUUUUAAAGAUUUUAAGAUUAAGUUACUUUAGGGAUAACAGCGUAAUUUUUUUUGAGAGUUCUUAUCGAAAAAAAAGUUUGCGACCUCGAUGUUGAAUUAAAAUAUCCUUAUAAGUGCAGAAGCUAUAAAGGAAAGUCUGUUCGACCUUUUAAAAUUUUACAU